rnacentral:lncRNA from 1 species
AUGCCAGCAAAUUUGGAAAACUCAGUAGUGGCCACGGGACUGGAAAAGGUCAGUUUUCAUUCCAAUCCCAAAGAAAGGCAAUGCCAAAGAACGCUCAAGCUACCGCACAGUUGCACUCGUCUCACAACUAGUAAAGUAAUGCUCAAAAUUCUCCAAGCCAGGCUUCAGCAAUACGUGGACUGUGAACUUCCAGAUGUUCAAGCUGGUUUUAGAAAAAGCCAAGGAACCAGAGAUCAAAUUGCCAACAUCCACUGGAUCAUUGAAAGAGCAAGAGAGUCGCAGAAAAACAUCUAUUUCUGCUUUAUUGACUAUGCCAAAGCCUUUGACUGUGUGGAUCACAAUAAACUGUGGAAAAUUCUGAAAGAGAUGGGAAUACCAGUCCACCUUACCUGCCUCUUGAGAAACCUGUAUGCAGGUCAGGAAGCAACAGUGAGAACUGGACAUGGAACAACAGACUGGUUCCAAAUAGGAAAAGGAGUACAUCAAGGCUGUAUAUUGUCACCCUGCUUAUUUAACUUCUACGCAGAGUACAUCAUGAGAAAUACUGGGCUGGAAGAAACACAAGCUGGAAUCAAGAUUGCCAGGAGAAAUAUCAGUAACCUCAGAUAUGCAGAUGACACCACUCUUAUGGCAGAAACUGAAGAGGAACUAAACAGCCUCUUGAUGAAAGUGAAAGAAGAGAGUGAAAAAGUUGGCUUAAAGCUCAACUUUCAGAAAAUGAAGAUCAUGGCAUCUGGUCCCAUCACUUCAUGGGAAAUAGAUGGAGAAACAGUGGAAACAGUGUCAGACUUUAUUUUGGGGGGCUCCAAAAUGACUGCAGAUGGUGACUGCAGCCAUGAAAUUAAAAGAUGCUUACUCCUUGGAAGGAAAGUUAUGACCAACCUAGAUAGCAUAUUAAAAAGCAGAGAUAUUACUUUGCCAACAAAGGUCUGUCUAGUCAAGGCUAUGGUUUUUCCAGUGGUCAUGUAUGGAUGUGAGAGUUGGACUGUGAAGGAAGCCGAGUGCCGAAGAAUUGAUGCUUUUGAGCUGUGGUGUUGGAGAAGACUCUUGAGAGUCCCUUGGACUGCAAGGAGAUCCAACCAGUCCAUCCUAAAAAUCAAUCCUGGGUGUUCAUUGGAAGGACUGAUGUUGAAGCUGAAACUCCAAUACUUUGGCCACCUCAUGUGA